CUCCGUAUUACCGACAUGACAGACAUUUCCUAUCCUCGCAUAUUCGGUUUCUACACGUCGAAAUACACAAGACAGGCGAGUUUGAGCGAAAUCCAAGGUGUUUUGGACUAUCUGAGCUAGCACCUGCCUGCGGAUUCCCUAUAAUAAUUAUCACUUCCUAGAAGUUGUACUGGCAGUGAAUUUCGGAACGCAGCCUCUGCAACCAGCUCUAGACCGCCAAUCUUACUUACAUUUUUUAAGCAAACUAAAUUCAACGUCAGAAUACGAAUA